rnacentral:misc_RNA from 1 species
AAGUCGUAACAAGGUUUCCGUAGGUGAACCUGCGGAAGGAUCAUUAACACGUAUCCACGUAUCAACCCCUUUGUGCUUUUUGUUUGAACGUAUACCCUGUCAAUUGGCCCCUUCGCGGGGCCGGAACGUUGAAUGGUUUGGGCGCGCAAGUGCCCAAGUUCUUUGUGACAGGUUAUCAUUUACAUGUUAACCAUUCAGACAUGGCCCUUUUACAAUUUAUUAACCCCUUUGUAACAUUCUUGCUAAUCUAAUUUGAUGGUUUGGACUUUGUUCCGAAUAUCAAUAUUACGAAAUGCUUGACAACUCUUAGCAACGGAUAUCUUGGUUCUC